ACAUGCAAGUCGAGCGGUAAGNCUUUCGGGGUACACGAGCGGCGAACGGGUGAGUAACACGUGGGUGAUCUGCCCUGCACUCUGGGAUAAGCUUGGGAAACUGGGUCUAAUACCGGAUAUGACCACAGCAUGCAUGUGUUGUGGUGGAAAGAUUUAUCGGUGCAGGAUGGGCCCGCGNCUNUCAGCUUGUUGGUGGGGUAAUGGCCUACCAAGGCGACGACGGGUAGCCGACCUGAGAGGGUGACCGGCCACACUGGGACUGAGACACGGCCCAGACUCCUACGGGAGGCAGCAGUGGGGGAAUAUUGCACAAUGGGCGG
rnacentral:rRNA from 1 species